UGAAUGAAGAGUUUGAUCCUGGCUCAGGAUGAACGCUGACAGAAUGCUUAACACAUGCAAGUCGACUUGAAGCAACUUCGGUUGUGGAAAGUGGCGGACGGGUGAGUAACGCGUAAAGAACUUGCCCUUCAGUCUGGGACAACCAUUGGAAACGAUGGCUAAUACCGGAUAUUAUGGAACUCUC
rfam:Cetobacterium ceti strain ATCC 700028 genome assembly, contig: EI52DRAFT_scaffold00001.1